AAAGAAAGGAGAGAAGGAAAAAAAUUUUCUCUCUCCUCUCUCCUCUUUUCACUUCUACCUUUUUUUCACUUCAAACCUUUUUUUCACUCAUCCCUCCUCGUUCGGCGGCUUCGUGUCGCAACGAGAAGAAAAGAGGAAGUUUGGCGAAAGGGAUAAAAGAAAAAAG
rnacentral:ribozyme from 1 species